rnacentral:rRNA from 1 species
AUUUAACGCUGGCGGCAGGCCUAACACAUGCAAGUCGAACGAGUGGCGCACGGGUGAGUACUGUCUGGGAAACUGCCUGAUGGAUGUGGAUCACUUCUGGCAACGGUAGCUAAUACCGCAUCCCAUCGCCUGUGCCCAGAUGGGAUGAGCUCGUAGGUGGGGUAAAGGCUCACCUAGGCGACGAUCCCUAGCUGGUCUGAGAGGAUGACCAGCCACACUGGAACUGAGACACGGUCCAGACUCCUACGGGAGGCAGAAGUGGGGAAUAUUGAAAAAUGGGGGCAAGCCUGAUGCAGCCAUGCCGCGGGUAUGAAGAAGGCCUUCGGGUUGUAAAGUACUUUCAGCGGGGAGGCGUUACCCGCAGAAGAAGCACCGGCUAACGCCGUGCCAGCAGCCGCGGUAAUAC